rnacentral:rRNA from 1 species
GACGAACGCUGGCGGCGUGCUUAACACAUGCAAGUCGAACGGAAAGGCCCUGCUUUUGUGGGGUGCUCGAGUGGCGAACGGGUGAGUAACACGUGAGUAACCUGCCCUUGACUUUGGGAUAACUUCAGGAAACUGGGGCUAAUACCGGAUAGGAGCUCCUGCUGCAUGGUGGGGGUUGGAAAGUUUCGGCGGUUGGGGAUGGACUCGCGGCUUAUCAGCUUGUUGGUGGGGUAGUGGCUUACCAAGGCUUUGACGGGUAGCCGGCCUGAGAGGGUGACCGGGGACCUUGGGCCUGCGAUACGGCGCAGAGGCCUACGGGAGGCAGCAGGGGCGAAUAUUGUCCAAUGGGAGGAAGCGUGAUGCAGCAACGCCGCGUGCGGGAUGACGGUUUUCGGGUUGUAAACCGCUUCCGCCUGUGACGCAGCGUGAGUGACGGUAAUGGGUAAAGAAGCACCGGCUAACUACGUG